CCUACGGGUGGCAGCAGUGGGGAAUAUUGGGCAAUGGGCGCAAGCCUGACCCAGCAACGCCGCGUGAAGGAAGAAUGCUUUCUGGUUGUAAACUUCUUUUCUGCGGGACGAAGACAGUGACGGUACCUCAGGAAUAAGCCACGGCUAACUACGGGCCAGCAGCCGCGGGAAUACGUAGGUGGCACACGUUAUCCGGUUUUCUUGGGUGUAAAGGGCGUGUGGGCGGGAAAGCAAGUCAGAUGGGUAAACGCAGGGCUCAACACUGAGACUGCAUUUGAAACUGUGUUUCUUGAGUGCUGGAGAGGCAAUCGGAAUGCCGUGUGUAGCGGUGAAAUGCGUAGAUAUACGGAGGAACACCAGUGGCGAAGGCGGAUUGCUGGACAGUAACUGACGCUGAGGCGCGAAAGCGUGGGGAGCAAACAGGAUUAGAUACCCGAGUAGUC
rnacentral:rRNA from 1 species